GACAUCAUCAAGUUUCCUGAAGGCUAUAGCCGGAGCCACGAAAAAGUUCGGAAACAAAUUGCUUGGUCUUUGAGGAAUCGCCACACUGCCUUCCACAUGGAAAGGACACAAAUGGUUGAACUGAUUUACACUCCCACCAACUGUGUAUAAGUGUGCCUUUUUCUCCACAACCAGCUUUGUUAACAGCGUGAAGACUAGAAGAAAAAGAAUGGAAGAAAGAAGUGAAAGAGAAACAAAUAGGGAAGGGGAUCCCUCGGAUGACUGGGAAGGAAAGGAAAACCAGAAAAAGCAGUCAGGAUGAAUGCCUGACAAAAAACUCUGCUGCAGUGACACUUUGACAUGAAGCAGAUUCAAACUUUCUAUGACUGAACAGGACAUUUUCCAUUUAUUGCUCCUUUGAUACCCAAGCUCCUCAAUGGGGGUAUUCUUCAAUGAGACACUUUUACCAGUGACCAUAUUCUUGCUUGUUGGUUUCUUUUUUUUUUAAAGUAUGUUGCUGCUGUACUUUUAAGAAAGUUGUGUUUUAUCUUAGUACUUUGAUAUUCAUAAAUGGUAUAAAGCAUAAUUUUACCACAUAGCUUUAAUGGAAUACUUUUUACAAACAAAAUAAAACUUGACCUUCUUCCACCCUAUCUCCACAUCGGAACUAA
ensembl:lncRNA LINC02104 long intergenic non-protein coding RNA 2104